rnacentral:rRNA from 1 species
CCUACGGGAGGCAGCAGUGGGGAAUAUUGCACAAUGGGCGCAAGCCUGAUGCAGCGACGCCGCGUGAGGGAUGACGGCCUUCGGGUUGUAAACCUCUUUCAGUAGGGAAGAAGCGAAAGUGACGGUACCUGCAGAAGAAGCGCCGGCUAACUACGUGCCAGCAGCCGCGGUAAUACGUAGGGCGCAAGCGUUAUCCGGAAUUAUUGGGCGUAAAGAGCUCGUAGGCGGUUUGUCGCGUCUGCCGUGAAAGUCCGGGGCUCAACUCCGGAUCUGCGGUGGGUACGGGCAGACUAGAGUGAUGUAGGGGAGACUGGAAUUCCUGGUGUAGCGGUGAAAUGCGCAGAUAUCAGGAGGAACACCGAUGGCGAAGGCAGGUCUCUGGGCAUUAACUGACGCUGAGGAGCGAAAGCAUGGGGAGCGAACAGGAUUAGAUACCCUGGUAGUCCAUGCCGUAAACGUUGGGCACUAGGUGUGGGGGACAUUCCACGUUUUCCGCGCCGUAGCUAACGCAUUAAGUGCCCCGCCUGGGGAGUACGGCCGCAAGGCAAAACUCAAAGGAAUUGACGGCNGAGACGNGCGAGACGACGACGAGGGAGAG